rnacentral:rRNA from 1 species
GAUGAACGCUGGCGGCGUGCCUAAUACAUGCAAGUCGAGCGAACGGACGAGAAGCUUGCUUCUCUGAUGUUAGCGGCGGACGGGUGAGUAACACGUGGAUAACCUACCUAUAAGACUGGGAUAACUUCGGGAAACCGGAGCUAAUACCGGAUAAUAUUUUGAACCGCAUGGUUCAAAAGUGAAAGACGGUCUUGCUGUCACUUAUAGAUGGAUCCGCGCUGCAUUAGCUAGUUGGUAAGGUAACGGCUUACCAAGGCAACGAUGCAUAGCCGACCUGAGAGGGUGAUCGGCCAAACUGGAACCGAGACAAGGUCCAGACUCCUAAGGGAGGCAGCAGUAGGGAAACUUUCGCAAUGGGCGAAAGCCUGAAGGAGCAAAGCCGCGUGAGUGAUGAAGGUCUUCGGAUCGUAAAACUUUGUUAAUAGGGAAGAACAUAUGUGUAAGUAACUGUGCACAUCUUGACGGUACCUAAUCAGAAAGCCACGGCUAACUACGUG